UACGUAGGCAGCGAGCGUUGUUCGGAGUUACUGGGCGUAAAGCGUGCGCAGGCGGUGAUGUAAGACCGAUGUGAAAUCCCCGGGCUUAACCUGGGAACUGCAUUGGUGACUGCAUUGCUGGAGUAUGGCAGAGGGGGGUGGAAUUCCACGUGUAGCAGUGAAAUGCGUAGAGAUGUGGAGGAACACCGAUGGCGAAGGCAGCCCCCUGGGCCAAUACUGACGCUCAUGCACGAAGCGUGGGGAGCAAACAGG
rnacentral:rRNA from 1 species